CUUUUCCAACCUGGAGAAGUCAGGGGCAGAACUGCAGGGAGGCCUCCCAGCCCCCAGAGAGUAAAGGGGAAGGAGGAGAUGCACUGGGAGAUGGCCAAGGGCCCGCUACCUGGAACACAGAAAGGUGGGCUCCCUGCUGCAGGGGGAGUGGCCCCGGGAGUCUACUCAAAAGACCAUCCAUGCUGCCAUCAGUACCGCAGGCAGCUCAGAGCAUCAAGGGACAGACAGACGUCAGUG
rnacentral:lncRNA from 1 species